rnacentral:rRNA from 1 species
CGUCCAGACUCCUACGGGAGGCAGCAGUGGGGAAUAUUGCACAAUGGGGGAAACCCUGAUGCAGCGACGCCGCGUGAAGGAAGAAGUAUUUCGGUAUGUAAACUUCUAUCAGCAGGAAAGAAAAUGACGGUACCUGACUAAGAAGCCCCGGCUAACUACGUGCCAGCAGCCGCGGUAAUACGUAGGGGGCAAGCGUUAUCCGGAUUUACUGGGUGUAAAGGGAGCGUAGACGGCAGUGCAAGUCCGGAGUGAAAGCCCGGGGCUCAACCCUGGGACUGCUCUGGAAACUGUAAAGCUGGAGUGCGGGAGGGGCAGGCGGAAUUCCUGGUGUAGCGGUGAAAUGCGUAGAUAUUAGGAGGAACACCAGUGGCGAAGGCGGCCUGCUGGACGACAACUGACGGUGAGGCGCGAAAGCGUGGGGAGCAAACAGGAUUAGAUACCCGUGUA